GGCUCAGAAAGAGCAAAGAUUUGGCCUGGCGUCAGAAGGCAGAGGUUCCCUGAAGAGUUUUCAGUGACUUUUACCAAAGAGAAGCAAAUUAUUAACUCAUUGCUGUCUGAGAAACCAGAAGACCGACCUGAUGCCAGCGCCGUAAAGGAAAAGCUUGAAGAGUGGACUCAGAUAUUCAGCACACAAAAAGCAUCUCGCCAGGAAAAUCAAACUGUCUGAUAGUCACAAGAGAAAAGUUUCAAAAGUCACAGGAGCCUUUGCAAAUCUGUCUUCUUGCAUCUGCUUAAUGAAAUGAUUUGAUGUACUGUGUAAUAUUAUGUUGGGUAACUGUUAAUGUGCAAAGUUAAUAUAUGGAAGAGGUCACAUCAUGAAUCCCAGCUAUUUUGGGGAAGUUUGUAUUGGAUUUGGAAAUGAAAUGUGAAAUCAUGAUUUUAAAAUCUAACUAUUCAAAUCAGUUUCCCGGUGAAGGUCGUCACUUUGUAACUGUUGUUAACCUGCUGCUGUCCUGAGGAGGAGGAACUGUGAUGCUACGUGUACUUCUGAUGGAUUCAUGUUGAAUGUCAGAGAUAAAAAAGCACACUCCAUGUGGCUCAAUUUUAGAAACUUUCCUAAAUGUUUUCAACUCAUUUUUAACCCAUGAAAUACAGUUUAACAUAUUUUUCUUCCAUUUUUUUCUUCUGUUCAUUUUAAUCUGAUUGAUUGCAAUAUCAGUCAGCUAUGUGUGACUUGGAACAGCAGGAGAAAGGUCAUUAAUACUGUACUAGAGGG